rnacentral:tRNA from 1 species
GCCUGACUGGCUCAGUCGGUUGGGCGUCCGGCUUCGGCUCGGGUCAUGAUCUCACGGUUCAUGGGUUUGAGUCCCGCGUCAGGCU